CCACCACUAAGCCAGUGGUGAACUCCACAUACGCAUCCUUUGCUGAGGAUACGGUUAACGGAGCGAAAGCGACGUUCAACCUCAAAAGAAGCAGAGGGGGCUUAGUGGUGGGGUGACUGCGUACCUUUUGUAUAAUGGGUCAGCGACUUAUAUUCUGUAGCAAGGUUAACCGAAUAGGGGAGCCGGAGGGAAACCGAGUCUUAAUUGGGCGUUAAGUUGCAGGGUAUAGACCCGAAACCCGGUGAUCUAGCCAUGGGCAGGUUGAAGGUUGGGUAACACUAACUGGAGGACCGAACCGACUAAUGUUGAAAAAUUAGCGGAUGACCUGUGGCUGGGGGUGAAAGGCCAAUCAAACCGGGAGAUAGCUGGUUCUCCCCGAAAGCUAUUUAGGUAGCGCCUCGUGAAUUCAUCUCCGGGGGUAGAGCACUGUUUCGGCUAGGGGGUCAUCCCGACUUACCAACCCGAUGCAAACUGCGAAUACCGGAGAAUGUUAUCACGGGAGACACACGGCGGGUGCUAACGUCCGUCGUGAAGAGGGAAACAACCCAGACCGCCAGCUAAGGUCCCAAAGUCAUGGUUAAGUGGGAAACGAUGUGGGAAGGCCCAGACAGCCAGGAUGUUGGCUUAGAAGCAGCCAUCAUUUAAAGAAAGCGUAAUAGCUCACUGGUCGAGUCGGCCUGCGCGGAAGAUGUAACGGGGCUAAACCAUGCACCGAAGCUGCGGCAGCGACACUGUGUGUUGUUGGGUAGGGGAGCGUUCUGUAAGCCGUUGAAGGUGUGUCGUGAGGCAUGCUGGAGGUAUCAGAAGUGCGAAUGCUGACAUAAGUAACGAUAAUGCGGGUGAAAAACCCGCACGCCGGAAGACCAAGGGUUCCUGUCCAACGUUAAUCGGGGCAGGGUGAGUCGACCCCUAAGGCGAGGCCGAAAGGCGUAGUCGAUGGGAAACGGGUUAAUAUUCCCGUACUUGGUGUUACUGCGAAGGGGGGACGGAGAAGGCUAUGUUGGCCGGGCGACGGUUGUCCCGGUUUAAGCGUGUAGGUGUGUGUUCCAGGUAAAUCCGGUUCACUUUAACACUGAGGCGUGAUGACGAGGCACUACGGUACUGAAGCAACAAAUGCCCUGCUUCCAGGAAAAGCCUCUAAGCAUCAGGUAACAUCAAAUCGUACCCCAAACCGACACAGGUGGUCAGGUAGAGAAUACCAAGGCGCUUGAGAGAACUCGGGUGAAGGAACUAGGCAAAAUGGUGCCGUAACUUCGGGAGAAGGCACGCUG
rnacentral:rRNA from 1 species